UAGAUAUAAUUUUAACAUAUCACAAAAAUACAUGAAAACAGUACAGGUACCCCACAAAAAUAUACAUAUUCCGUAAUAGACCCGAUCUGAGCGCACAGCAUAUCCAAAAAGCGCUCAGAUCGGUUCGGUAAAACGAGAGUUAUGUUUGAACAAAGUUUUGACCAGUCGACUUUCGGGGGUUCCUGUGCAUACACCAACGAAAGCUCCCCCUGGCUUUUAAGAAAUUAUUGCUUCC